GACCCGCGGGCAUUGGGUAUGAGUGGCAACCUCCGCCCUGAGGGUUCGUGGCCCACCACUCCUUCGCAGUCCCUGCCGCCACCGUCCAUGGUCUGCAUUGUAGAGAAGACUGUGGGUUGGAAGAGCGCCAUCGCCGCCAGUGUAUGCCGGGCCCUUUUUAUCGGGUACUGCAUCUACUUCGACCACAAAAGACAAAGUGACCCCAGCUUCAAGAACAGGCUUUGAGAACGAAGAAACAGAAGCUUCCCAAGCAGAGAGCUGGGUUUUCCAACUUACCUAACCUUAAAGAUGCUGAAGCUGUUCAGAAAUUCUUCCUUGAAGAAACACAGCUUGGUGAAGAGUUACUAGCUCAAGGUGAAUAUGAGAAGGGUGUAGACCAUCUGACAAAUGCAAUUGCUGUGUGUGGACAGCCACAGCAGUUACUGCAGGUCUUACAGCAAACUCUUCCACCACCAGUGUUCCAGAUGCUUCUGACUAAGCUCCCCAAAAUUAGAGAAUUAUAAGUGCUCAGAGCUUGGCUGAAGAUGAUGUGGAAUGAGAAACAAAUGUCAACAUAAUAAAAUCUUAGUUAAAAAUAUUUAA